AUCUUCGUACUCCUCUACCUCGUUCAGUUCUGAGGAUGAAGUGGUUUUUCCUCCCCAGGAGCUUCGCAGAUUCACUAAGGAGGUGACUCGCAUGUUAUCAGACAAAGAGCUGGAUAAAAUCAAGGGUUUUCCUAUACUUCCCAAGUUAAGACAGCUAAUGGAAAGAGAAUGGAAAGACCCAGGGAAGAGGAGCAUUGGGAUGAACCCCCCAAGGUGGAUGUCCACAUAGCCCAGCUGUCGAAAAAGACGACCAUUCCCAUUGGAGGUGUCUCAGGUCUGAAGGACUCAAUGGAUAGAAGAGUCGAGACUUCUUGCUGCUGAGCGGCAGUGGCCAGUACAGCAGUGUCUAGAGCACAGAGUUGUUGGAUACAGGCCCUGGAAGACUGUUUGCCGGAUGAUCAAGAUUCCGAAAUCUCCGGACUUCUAAAAAAUUUGCGAUUUUCCAGCAGUUGUUCUUACAGAUUCCUCUCAAGAGUUGGUGAAGAUAUCCGCUAAGAAUAUGGGGUUACCGUCUGUGGCUCGUAGAGCCUUAUGGUUGAGAUCCUGGACGGCGGAUUCAGCCUCCAACACAUCUCUACGUGACUUACCUUUUGAGGGGAGUAUAUUGUUCGGAGCGCCAUUGGAAGAUUUAAUCAAACAAAUGUCGGAGACCAAGAGGGCUCUUCCUCAGGAUAGACGUCCUAGAUGGAAUAGGAGAUAUCCGUACAAGACAACCAGGCCUUUCCAGACGUCUUCCAAAUCGCAGAAUUUUCGGAAUUUCUACGGAGAG